UACGGAGGGGGCCAGCGUUGUUCGGAAUUAUUGGGCGUAAAGGGCGCGUAGGCGGCCAUUCAAGUUGGACGUGAAAUCCCUCGGCUCAACCGGGGAACUGCGUCCGAUACUGUCUGGCUCGAGUCCUGGAGAGGGUAGUGGAAUUCCCAGUGUAGCGGUGAAAUGCGUAGAUACUGGGAGGAACACCGGUGGCGAAGGCGGCUACCUGGACAGGUACUGACGCUGAUGCGCGAAAGCUAGGGGAGCAAACAGG
rnacentral:rRNA from 1 species